GGGGUCUUAGCUCAGCUGGGAGAGCAUCUGCCUUACAAACAGAGGGUCAUAGGUUCGAGCCCUAUAGGCCCCA
rnacentral:tRNA from 1 species